UACGUAGGGUGCAAGCGUUAAUCGGAAUACUGGGCGUAAAGCGUGCGCAGGCGGCUUUGCAAGACAGAUGUGAAAUCCCCGGGCUUAACCUGGGAACUGCAUUUGUGACUGCAUGGCUGGAGUGCGGCAGAGGGGGAUGGAAUUGCCGCGUGUAGCAGUGAAAUGCGUAGAUAUGCGGAGGAACACCGAUGGCGAAGGCAUCCCCUGGACCUGUACUGACGCUCAUGCACGAAAGCGUGGGGAGCAAC
rnacentral:rRNA from 1 species